rnacentral:rRNA from 1 species
GAAUCUAAACUUAGCGGCGGAUGGGUGAGGAACGCGUGGAUAACCUACCGUGCACAGGGGGAUAACAGUUGGAAACGACUGUUAAUACCGCAUAUGCUCACAGUACCGCAUGGCACAGGGAGGAAAGAUUUAUCGGUGCAUGAUGGAUCCGCGUCGGAUUAGCCUGUUGGCGGGGUAACGGCCCACCAAAGCGAUGAUCCGUAGCCGGCCUGAGAGGGCGACCGGCCACAUUGGGACUGAGACACGGCCCAAACUCCUACGGGAGGCAGCAGUGGGGGAUAUUGCACAAUGGGGGAAACCCUGAUGCAGCGACGCCGCGUGAAGGAAGAAGUAUUUCGGUAUGUAAACUUCUAUCAGCAGGGAAGAAAAUGACGGUACCUGACUAAGAAGCCCCGGCUAACUACGUGCCAGCAGCCGCGGUAAUACGUAGGGGGCAAGCGUUAUCCGGAUUUACUGGGUGUAAAGGGAGCGUAGACGGUAUGGCAAGUCUGAUGUGAAAACCCAAGGCUCAACCAUGGGAUUGCAUUGGAAACUGUCAAACUUGAGUGCUGGAGGGGUAAGCGGAAUUCCUAGUGUAGCGGUGAAAUGCGUAGAUAUUAGGAAGAACACCGGCGGCGAA